rnacentral:rRNA from 1 species
UACGUAGGGUGCAAGCGUUUGUCCGGGAAUUAUUGGGGCGUAAAGAGCUCGUAGGCGGUUUGUCGCGUCUGCUGUGAAAACUCGGGGGCUUAACCCCGGGCCUGCAGUGGGUACGGGCAGACUAGAGUGCGGUAGGGGAGACUGGAAUUCCUGGUGUAGCGGUGGAAUGGCGCAGAUAUCAGGAGGAACACCAAUAGCGAAGGCAGCUCGCUGGGACGUUACUGACACUGAGGCGCGAAAGCGUGGGGAGCGAACAGG